rnacentral:rRNA from 1 species
UGGGGAAUCUUCCGCAAUGGACGCAAGUCUGACGGAGCAACGCCGCGUGAGUGAAGAAGGAUUUCGGUUCGUAAAACUCUGUUGUUAGAGAAGAACAGCGCAUAGAGUAACUGUUAUGCGUGUGACGGUAUCUAACCAGAAAGCCACGGCUAACUACGUGCCAGCAGCCGCGGUAAUACGUAGGUGGCAAGCGUUGUCCGGAUUUAUUGGGCGUAAAGCGAGCGCAGGCGGUCAAUUAAGUCUGAUGUGAAAGCCCCCGGCUCAACCGGGGAGGGUCAUUGGAAACUGGUUGACUUGAGUGCAGAAGAGGAGAGUGGAAUUCCAGGUGUAGCGGUGAAAUGCAUAGAUAUAUGGAGGAACACCAGUGGCGAAGGCGACUCUCUGGUCUGUAACUGACGCUGAGGCUCGAAAGCGUGGGUAGCAAACAGG